rnacentral:rRNA from 1 species
UACGUAGGGUGCGAGCGUUAAUCGGAAUUACUGGGCGUAAAGCGUGCGUAGGCGGUUCGUUAAGUUCGUUGUGAAAGCCCCGGGCUCAACCUGGGAACUGCAAUGGAAACUGGCGGGCUUGAGUGUGGCAGAGGAGAGUGGAAUUCCCGGUGUAGCGGUGAAAUGCGCAGAUAUCGGGAAGAACACCCGUGGCGAAGGCGGCUCUCUGGGACGGUACUGACGCUGAGACGCGAAAGCGUGGGGAGCGAACAGG